ACUUCCGUUAAUUGAUUAUGACGUACUUGUACUGAUUGAGAUUUUAACACGAAGUGAGUGGCGAACGGGUGAGUAACACGUGGGUAACCUGCCCAGAAGUAGGGGAUAACACCUGGAAACAGAUGCUAAUACCGUAUAACAGAGAAAACCGCAUGGUUUUCUUUUAAAAGAUGGCUCUGCUAUCACUUCUGGAUGGACCCGCGGCGUAUUAGCUAGUUGGUGAGGUAAAGGCUCACCAAGGCAGUGAUACGUAGCCGACCUGAGAGGGUAAUCGGCCACAUUGGGACUGAGACACGGCCCAGACUCCUACGGGAGGCAGCAGUAGGGAAUCUUCCACAAUGGACGCAAGUCUGAUGGAGCAACGCCGCGUGAGUGAAGAAGGGUUUCGGCUCGUAAAGCUCUGUUGUUAAAGAAGAACGUGGGUAAGAGUAACUGUUUACCCAGUGACGGUAUUUAACCAGAAAGCCACGGCUAACUACGUGCCAGCAGCCGCGGUAAUACGUAGGUGGCAAGCGUUAUCCGGAUUUAUUGGGCGUAAAGCGAGCGCAGGCGGUCUUUUAAGUCUAAUGUGAAAGCCUUCGGCUCAACCGAAGAAGUGCAUUGGAAACUGGGAGACUUGAGUGCAGAAGAGGACAGUGGAACUCCAUGUGUAGCGGUGAAAUGCGUAGAUAUAUGGAAGAACACCAGUGGCGAAGGCGGCUGUCUGGUCUGCAACUGACGCUGAGGCUCGAAAGCAUGGGUAGCGAACAGGAUUAGAUACCCUGGUAGUCCAUGCCGUAAACGAUGAUUACUAAGUGUUGGAGGGUUUCCGCCCUUCAGUGCUGCAGCUAACGCAUUAAGUAAUCCGCCUGGGGAGUACGACCGCAAGGUUGAAACUCAAAAGAAUUGACGGGGGCCCGCACAAGCGGUGGAGCAUGUGGUUUAAUUCGAAGCUACGCGAAGAACCUUACCAGGUCUUGACAUCUUCUGACAGUCUAAGAGAUUAGAGGUUCCCUUCGGGGACAGAAUGACAGGUGGUGCAUGGUUGUCGUCAGCUCGUGUCGUGAGAUGUUGGGUUAAGUCCCGCAACGAGCGCAACCCUUAUUACUAGUUGCCAGCAUUAAGUUGGGCACUCUAGUGAGACUGCCGGUGACAAACCGGAGGAAGGUGGGGACGACGUCAAAUCAUCAUGCCCCUUAUGACCUGGGCUACACACGUGCUACAAUGGAUGGUACAACGAGUCGCGAGACCGCGAGGUUAAGCUAAUCUCUUAAAACCAUUCUCAGUUCGGACUGUAGGCUGCAACUCGCCUACACGAAGUCGGAAUCGCUAGUAAUCGCGGAUCAGCAUGCCGCGGUGAAUACGUUCCCGGGCCUUGUACACACCGCCCGUCACACCAUGAGAGUUUGUAACACCCAAAGCCGGUGGGGUAA
rnacentral:rRNA from 2 species